rnacentral:rRNA from 1 species
UACGAAGGGGGCGUAGCGUUGUUCGGAAUUACUGGGCGUAAAGCGUGCGCAGGCGGCUUUGCAAGACAGAUGUGAAAUCCCCGGGCUCAACCUGGGAACUGCAUUUGUGACUGCAAGGCUAGAGUACGGCAGAGGGGGAUGGAAUUCCGCGUGUAGCAGUGAAAUGCGUAGAUAUGCGGAGGAACACCAAUGGCGAAGGCAAUCCCCUGGGCCUGUACUGACGCUCAUGCACGAAAGCGUGGGGGAGC